CGCCGGCCCUGCGUGUCAGUGCUUUUAAUGUUGUGAUUGAUCAGUGUAUAAUUGCACCUCCUUCAAAAUGUUUAUUCUCAUCAACCUUUCUGUAUUGCCCUAAGGCAGUGGUUCCCAAAGUUUUUAGGUUCAAGGCGCCCUUUAUAUUUCAAUAUAUUUCCAAGGUGCCCCAAGUCAAAACAAAUUUCCAUGUAGUAUAUUUGUACAGCGCUGCGGCAUAUACUGGGCCCUUGUUUAGCAGAAAUGUUUCCCAGUCAGGGGCGGAUCCAGAACCUAAUCUUGGGAGCGGCACUGGUAGAUUAUUUAAGGAAACAAACCAGGCACAAUAACCACUACUGCACUCUGUAGUGGUUAUGGUGCCAGGAGUGCCAUGGUGCCCUCCCAGGGUAAGUAGUCAAACUGUUUAAAAACAGUUUGACAAUUUACCUUGGAUCUGCCAGGAUAUGGGCUGUAGUAUGUGAAAGGGGCAGUAGUGUUUGUGAAGGUUGAGUGUGUGUGUGUGUGAAGGGUGCAGUGUGUGUAAAGGGUGCAAUGUGUAUGUGUGUGGGGGGUGCAGUGUUUGUGUAUGGGGGUGUAUUGUGCUUGUGACGGAUGCAGUGUCUUUGUGUGUGUGUGAGGGGUGAAGUGUGCGUGAGAAGGAUGUAGUGUGUGGGGGUGCAGCAUGUUUGAGAAUUGUGCAUAGUGUGUGGGGCAGUGUGUGCAUGAGGGGUGCAGUGUGUAUUGGGGCAGUGUGCAUGAGUGGUGCAGUGUGUGCGUG